rnacentral:lncRNA from 1 species
UAAAUUAUAAAAAUUUUCUUGCACUUUAGUCUAUGUCUCAAUUACCUCCAUAUAUUAAAAAUUAGGAUUAAUUUCAUACAAGUACCUACAAAUAUAGUGAACGACAAAUUUAUUUUUACAAAGUUCAACUUUCAUGUAUUAUCUUUGCAGAAGUUCUGAUAUUUUCAAAUGUGUCCUCUGAUUUGUUACCGUUAGAAAACCGUUUAUAUUUUCAACUUUGACAUCACGAAUAUAUCUCUUCAAAAACCAUAAUAGUAUAAUAUAAAUGGGUAAAAAUAUCAAAAACUAAUUAGGCUUAAGUAUUUAAUAUAUGGUUAACUAAAUUUUUCUAACGAAUUCUAACAAUAGAGAUAUAUUUGAAAACAUCAGACCUUUUAUAGCGACAAUACAUGAAAGUUGAACUUUGUAGGAACAAAUUUGUCAUUCACUAUAUUUACAGGGACCUAUAUGAAAUUAACCCUAAGAAUUAUAUCAAUUUCUAUUGUUACAUUUUGCUAUCAUCUAACA